rnacentral:lncRNA from 1 species
AUGUCUAUCACCAACUCCAGGAAUUCACUCAGACUUGAUUCCAUCGAGUCAGUGAUGCCAUCCAGCCAUCUCAUCCUCGGUCUUCCCCUUCUUCUCCUGCCCCCAAUCCCUCUCAGCAUCAAAGUAUUUUCCAAUGAGUCAACUCUUCGCAUGAGGUGGCCAAAGUACUCAAGUUUCAGCUUUAGCAUCAUUCCUUCCAAAGAAAUCCCAGGGCUGAUCUCCUUCAGAAUGGACUGGUUGGAUCUCCUUGCAGUCCAAGGGACUCUCAAGAGUCUUCUCCAACACCACAGUUCAAAAGCAUCAAUUCUUCAGCACUCAGCUUUCUUCACAGUCCAACUCUCACAUCCAUACAUGACCACAGGAAAAACCAUAGCCUUGACUAGAUGGACCUUAGUCGGCAAAGUAAUGUCUCUGCUUUUGAAUAUGCUAUCUAAGUUGCUCAUAAUUUUUCUUCCAAGGAGUAAGCAUCUUUUAAUUUCAUGGCUGCAGUCACCAUCUGCAGUGAUUUUGGAACCCAAAAAUAUAAAGUCUGACUCUGUUUCCACUGUUUCCCCAUCUAUUUCCCAUGAAGUGAUGGGACAGGAUGCCAUGAUCUUCAUUUUCUGAAUGUUGAGCUUUAAGCCAACUUUUUCAAUAUCCUCUUUCACUUUCAUCAAAAAGCUUUUUACUUCCUCUUCACUUUCUGCCAAGAGGGUGGUGUCAUCUGCAUGUCUGAAGUUAUUGAUAUUUCUUCCAGCAAUCUUGAGUCCAUCUUGUGUUUCUUCCAGUCCAGCGUUUCUCGUGAUGUACUCUGCAUAGAAGUUAAAUAAGCAGGGUGACAGUAUACAGCCUUGACGCACUCCUUUUCCUAUUUGGAACCAAUCUGUUGUUCCAUGUCCAGUUCUAACUUUUGCUUCCUGACCUGCAUACAGAUUUCUCAAGAGACAAGUCAGGUGGUCUGGUAUUCCCAUCUCUUUCAGAAUUUUCCACAGUUUAUUGUGAUCCACACAGUCAAAGGCUUUGGCAUGGUCAAUAAAGCAGAAAUAGAUGUUUUUUUCUGGAACUCUCUUGCUUUUUCCAUGAUCCAGCAGAUGUUGGCAAUUUGAUCUCUGGUUCCUCUGCCUUUUCUAAAACCAGCUUGAACAUCUGGAAGUUCACAGUUCAUGUACUGUUGAAGCCUGGCUUGGAGAAUUUUGAGCAUUACUUUACUAG